GACGACGCUGGCGGUGCGCUUAAUGCAUGCAAGUCGAACGGGCAAUGGGGCUUCGGUCCCGGCGCUAGUGGCAGACGGCUGAGUAACACGUAAGUGAUCUGCCCCGGAGCGGGGGAUAAUCCGGAGAAAUCCGGCCUAAUACCCCGUACGUUCAUGUGGUUAAGGCCAUAUGAAGAAAGGCUUCGGCCGCUCCGGGAGGAGCUUGCGGCCUAUCAGGUAGUUGGCGGGGUAAUGGCCCACCAAGCCGAAGACGGGUAACCGAUGUGAGAGCAUGAUCGGUCAGAGGGGGACUGAGACACGGCCCCCACUCCUACGGGAGGCAGCAGCAGGGAAUCUUGCGCAAUGGGCGAAAGCCUGACGCAGCGACACCGCGUGGGGGAAGAAGGCCUUAGGGUUGUAAACCCCUUUUCUGUGGGAAGAGAUAGGACGGUACCACAGGAAUAAGCAUCGGCUAACUACGUGCCAGCAGCCGCGGUAAUACGUAGGAUGCAAGCGUUGUCCGGAUUUACUGGGCGUAAAGGGUGUGUAGGCGGCAUGCUAAGUCUCAUGUGAAAUCUCCCGGCUCAACUGGGAGCGGUCAUGGGAAACUGGCAAGCUGGAGGGCAGCAGAGGAAAGCGGAAUUCCGGGAGUAGUGGUGGAAUGCGUAGAUACCCGGAGGAACACCAGAGGCGAAGGCGGCUUUCUGGGCUGUACCUGACGCUGAGACACGAAAGCGUGGGGAGCAAACCGGAUUAGAUACCCGGGUAGUCCACGCCCUAAACGAUGGAUACUAGAUAUAGGGGGUAUCGACCCCUCCUGUGUCGGAGUUAACGCGAUAAGUAUCCCGCCUGGGGAGUACGGCCGCAAGGCUAAAACUCAAAGGAAUUGACGGGUC
rnacentral:rRNA from 1 species